UACAGAGGUGGCAAGCGUUGUUCGGAAUUACUGGGCGUAAAGGGCGCGUAGGCGGCCUUCUAAGUCGGACGUGAAAGCCCCAGGCUUAACCUGGGAACUGCGUCCGAUACUGGGAGGCUUGGAUUCGGGAGAGGGAUGUGGAAUUCCAGGUGUAGCGGUGAAAUGCGUAGAUAUCUGGAGGAACACCGGUGGCGAAGGCGGCAUCCUGGACCGAGAUCGACGCUGAGGCGCGAAAGCUAGGGGAGCAAAC
rnacentral:rRNA from 1 species